rnacentral:misc_RNA from 1 species
GCAAAGAGUAGAAAGUGAAGAUAAAAGUAAAAGGAAAAAGAAAAUGAUACGGGGGCAUCACCGGCGUCGAUCAUCGACACCGUCAGUGGACUUCGGAGUAGACGAUGAAGAAGAAGAAGAAUCAGAAGCUCAAAUGAAGUGCGUUUCAUGCAAGGAGGAUUACGGUUCAAGUGACGCCGGCACUUGCAGGGAGUGUUACGAAGAAGCUAGCGAGACUGAGGAAGAGCUGAAGCGUGAGAUCGAAGACCUUAAAGCCAAAGUGAACUUCCUCCGUUUCUGGAGUCCAUCCCAGCACCUCCACCAACAACAGCGAACUACACCCUUUUUCUCCGACAUCGUUUUGGUCGCUUCCCAUGAUGAAUCCGGCAAAUCCACCCCUUACCCUGUUCCCGUUCCUGCAAAUCGCGCUCUUCUGGCCAGUCGUUCCCCAGUGUUCAGAGCUAUGCUUGAAAAUGAGAUGGAAGAAAGCCUCAGUGGCACGAUUAAAAUCAGUGAUGUGUCUUAUGAAGCACUUCGUGCCUUUGUGACCUAUUUAUACACCGCUGAUGCAUGCCUGGAUGAUCUUAUGGCUUGUGACCUUCUAGUGUUGGCAGAAAAAUACCAAGUGAAUCAUCUGAAGACAUAUUGUGAGAAGUUCCUAAUUUCCAAGUUAAACUGGGAGAACUCACUUCCUAACUAUGGAUUUGCUCACCAGCAUAAUGCAAAGAAGUUGCUUGAUGCAGCGCUUUCAUUGAUCAUGGAAAACAUGGACAAGCUGAGCAAUCGAGAAGAAUACAAAGAACUCGUGGACAAGGAUCCCAGGCUAGUUGUAGAAAUCUAUGAAGCUUACCUUUCCAAACAGGUUAACACUGCUGUGCAGAAAGAUCCAGUUGCUAAAGCAUAGUCCAUGGUCAUAUUGACUUAAGUAAAAGAAGGAUUGUCUAAAUAUAUAAAAUCCCCAGAUGAUGAAUGUUAACUGGAAUUGUUUGAUUUGAACGAUCAGUAAGAAUUAGGUAUAAAUGUUCCAGCAUUGCUACUAUCACAAAGUUUCUGGAGCUGAUACUCCCUCAACAUUUAAGUUUGAU